rnacentral:rRNA from 1 species
GUGGGGAAUAUUGGACAAUGGGCGAAAGCCUGAUCCAGCCAUGCCGCGUGUGUGAAGAAGGUCUUCGGAUUGUAAAGCACUUUAAGUUGGGAGGAAGGGCAGUAAGUUAAUACCUUGCUGUUUUGACGUUACCGACAGAAUAAGCACCGGCUAACUUCGUGCCAGCAGCCGCGGUAAUACGAAGGGUGCAAGCGUUAAUCGGAAUUACUGGGCGUAAAGCGCGCGUAGGUGGUUUUGUAAGUUGGAGGUGAAAUCCCCGGGCUCAACCUGGGAACUGCCUCCAAAACUGCAUGACUAGAGUACGGUAGAGGGUAGUGGAAUUUCCUGUGUAGCGGUGAAAUGCGUAGAUAUAGGAAGGAACACCAGUGGCGAUGGCGACUACCUGGACUGAUACUGACACUGAGGUGCGAAAGCGUGGGGAGCAAACAGGAUUAGAAACCCGGGUAGUCC